rnacentral:rRNA from 1 species
GACGAACGCUGGCGGCGUGCUUAACACAUGCAAGUCGAACGGAAAGGCCUCUUUCGGUUGGUUCUCGUGUGGCGAACGGGUGAGUAACACGUUAGUAACCUGCCCUUGACUUUUGGAUAACUUCAGGAAACUGGGGCUAAUAGCUGAUAGGAUCUCCUUCUGCAUGGUUUGGGUUGGAAAGUUUCGGCGGUUGGGGAUGGACUCGCUGCUUAUCAGCUUGUUGGUGUGGUAGUGGCUUACCAAGGCUUUGACGGGUAGCCGGCCUGAGAGGGUGAACGGCCACACUGGGACUGAGCUAAGGCCCAGAAGCAUACGGGAGGAAGCAGUGGGGAAUAUUGGACAAUGGGUGGAAGCCUGAUGCAGCAACGCCGGGGGCGGGAUGACGGACCUCGGGUUGUAAACCGAUUUCGCUCAUGACGAAGCUUUGUGUGACGGUAGUGGGUAAAGAAGCACCGGCUAACUACGUG